UUGGCACUCACAGUGAUGGAGUAAUGUUUGAACGCUUGUUUUCAACUAUCUACAGAUCUCAUAAUGUUUAUUGUAUACAUGUUGAUCUUAAGGCAAAAUGGAGAUUCUAUCGGUUAAUAGAAAAGAUGGCGGCCUGCUAUAAUUCUCAUUUUAAAACAAACAAUGUUUUUCUCGUGGAGGACAGGGUAUCUGUAUACUGGGCACACUGGACUGUAGUUCAAGCAGAUCUAAACUGUAUGAGAGAACUUUUGGAGAGAAAUUCUAG